rnacentral:rRNA from 1 species
UGGGGAAUCUUCCGCAAUGGGCGCAAGCCUGACGGAGCAACGCCGCGUGAAUGAAGAAGGCCUUCGGGUCGUAAAGUUCUGUUGAAAGGGAAGAAGUCUUUACAUGUGAAUAAUGUGUAGAGGUGACGGUACCUUUUGAGGAAGCUCCGGCUAACUACGUGCCAGCAGCCGCGGUAAAACGUAGGGAGCGAGCGUUGUCCGGAAUUACUGGGCGUAAAGGGCGCGUAGGCGGGAUAUUAAGUCAGGUGUGAAAACUCCGGGCUUAACUUGGAGAUGGCACAUGAAACUAAUAUUCUUGAGUGCAGGAGAGGAAAGUGGAAUUCCUAGUGUAGCGGUGAAAUGCGUAGAUAUUAGGAGGAACACCGGUGGCGAAGGCGGCUUUCUGGACUGUAACUGACGCUGAGGCGCGAAAGCGUGGGGAGCGAACGGG